rfam:Anaerococcus vaginalis ATCC 51170 genomic scaffold SCAFFOLD1, whole genome shotgun sequence.
GGGGAUGUUUUGGUUUCGACGUGCUUGUUAAGAUUUAAGUUGCAAGUCGUUUAUCAAUUCGUAAAAUUGAAAAUUAAAUAUAAAUGCAAACAAUAAUAGCGAAAGACAAUUCGCAUUAGCUGCCUAAUUUAGGCAAGCAGCAAAUAAAAAUUAAGCCACAGUAGUUUUUAUUUGUUUCAUAAUUUUAUGUGGCAACUAAUAUGCAAAGCUUUGAGUAUAUUUAGUAUCUAUGAAGCUAGUCUAGUAAGUUAUUUGUAAGUAGAUAAGUGCUAGAUGAAAAUUAAAUACUUACUAAACUUGUAGAUGCUUUUAUUAAGACUCGUGCGGACACGGGUUCAAAUCCCGUCAUCUCCACCA